CUUUUUUUUUUUUUUUUUUUUUUUUUUGAAAAGGGCAGGUAGCAAAUAUUAGAGGCUUUGCAAGCUAAGACAAAAUGAAGGACAUUAUUUAGGUACUCAAGGAAACUUUUCACCAAAUUUUUAUUCUAAAAAUUGAAAACUCAAAAUAUUGAGUACAAUUUUUUUUUCUUUUUUUAGUAAUAGAGUUCUACUAAUGGGAAUAAUGGGAUUUUUUGGCAGGGGACGGGAGGUAACAUUUUGCUCAAUUUGGGCUGAAAGUUGGUAUCCCCUCAUUGGAAUAAAUAGAAAAUGUUAAUCUGUUAAUGCUGAUGUGUAAUGGGAUUUCACGUAUUUCAUCUUUGAAAAUGUCUUUUCACACAAACAGGUCAAGGUACUGCUAAAUACUGACACAUCCACCCAUGAGCAUGUGAUUUUAGUUAAGCAUAUUCAUCACUUGUAAGGCAUUUGUAGGAUUCAUCUUUUUGGUAUUUGCCCUUUAGCAUGUCAUUCAUUCAAGAUGAUUCAUUUCCAACAGAAGAUUAAGAGGAAACUUUAAAAGCAUUUAAUUGCAGUUAAAUGCUUUUAAAAUUUAAAAAUUUUCUUUGCACUGCAUCAAGGUCCAAAAAACUGCUACAGGAAAAUAUAUCCACUAAAAAUGGAUUUGGCAAUACAGCGCUGUUUUGACUUCUCAUAGCACAGAAAGUAUAUAAAGCAGCUUGACAAUCUUAAGUUUUAGUUUUUAUUGAAAUGAAUUUACCAUAUUAUGUUGUUGUACCUUGUAAUUUCAGGUCAAAUUCAUUAAGAAACAUUUUCAAGUCUGUGGCAAAAGUUAAUUUCCAAAGUUACUCAGUGUUAAAAAACAGUGGUUGAGGAUGGUUUUUCUCAUUCAGAAAAAUUUCAAUGUCAGCCCAGAGCCCAAAAAAAUAAAAAUAAAUCUUUAGCACUGCUAAGCCAUUGAACGCCUGUGUGGCAAAUCAAAUCAGGAUAUUCAGCUUCUGUUUCUCACAAAAAAAAAAAAAUCAUGGAACUGAAGAUGGUUAAGUCCACAAGAGCAAAUGAAGUUAACUGUUGACCAGUUCAGUAACACCAAUAUUUCCUGUGAAGUACCUGCUGAUGAAUAAUCAAGUGAGUAACUACAGGCUUUAAACAACUUACGUUUUCACAAGCCUUAAAAUUUGACCAAAUAAACUUUUUUUCUGCUUCAUGCAUUUUUCCCAGCAUCGGUUGCAUCACAUCUUAGUAGAUUCCACUUCAGGUUGUACUGUUUAUCAACUUUUUUGAAAAUAUUCCCACUUGUAGUUCCAUACAAAUUCUUCGAUCACUUCAAAUCCAGCAAUGGUUUCUCAAAAAAUAAAGCUAGGCAGUACUGACUAGUAAGAGGCAAAGAAUUAACAGUGUCAUUUGAUGUUGUGUCCAAAAUCCUCAUUCUUCAAACUACUGUUCUCAUCAAAGGGCUGAUGUCUUAAUUUUCUCUGGACACAUGUCUUUGGGUUGGUUACUAUCUUCAAGCACGAUGUAAUUCAGCAUUAGUAAAUGGUUUUCUUUGCUUGGCUAACAAAUAGGCUACUUGUAAACAUUUUGGUUGCAGCCUCAUUUUUAUUACUUUUGUGAAAUUUUGCUGUGAUGUUUCAUUUAAAUUUUCUAAUUCUUCUGACUGUUGCUUUCCCACCAGUUGGGAAUAUUGUGAUGUUAGUCUGAUACUGUCAGUCUAUUCUUUUACCAGUUAUGGUGACACUGCAUUAUAAACACAAUGUACCAGCAUAUAAUAAAAUAGUCCAUAUUCCAAUGUGCCUUGAAAGUGUAACAUUCAAAGGUACUUUUCUUGUUCUGAGAUACAGGGCAUGAACUGGUAGCAGAAAAAGUAAUAAAUCUAGCAAUACACAGGGCAUUCCAAAUGCUUUCAGGUAAUAUCUGCAUCACCAUGAUUCUGUAGCUUGCCAAGCGGCAAUGUGAAACAAGACACACAUACACAGGUUCUGUAGCAGCUACUCAACUUUCCCAUUAUAGCAAAAAAGUAUCCAUAGAUAAUAUGUAAAUUAGUGUGGCUGCAUUCCAAUAAAAACUUAUAGACACUAAAA
ensembl:lncRNA novel transcript, antisense to CNOT7